CUACGGGUCGCUGCAGUGAGGAAUAUUGCGCAAUGGGGGGAACCCUGAUGCAGCAACGCCGCGUGGAGGAUGACGCAUUUCGGUGUGUAAACUCCUUUUAUAUGUCAAGAAAAUGACGGUAGCAUAUGAAUAAGCACCGGCUAACUCCGUGGCCAGCAGCCGCGGUAAUACGGAGGGUGCAAGCGUUACUCGGAAUCACUGGGCGUAAAGGACGCGUAGGCGGGUUGGAAAGUCAGGUGUGAAAUCCUACAGCUUAACUGUAGAACUGCACUUGAAACUUCUAAUCUAGAGUAUGGGAGGGGGAGAUGGAAUUAGUGGUGUAGGGGUAAAAUCCGUAGAUAUCACUAGGAAUACCUAAAGCGAAGGCGAUCUCCUGGAACAUUACUGACGCUAAGGCGUGAAAGCGUGGGGAGCAAACAGGAUUAGAUACCCCUGUAGUC
rnacentral:rRNA from 1 species